AAAGCGCCUUUUCAUUGGCUUGAAGCUUUGGAACUGGAGUGGGGGCAAAAGGGAAAAGGAGGGAGGCUGAAACCCGUAGCGGCAGCCAAUCAGCACUCAGUGCCGUCCAAUCGCAAGACCUAGAUGCGGUGUGAUUGGCCUUCCCCCUCCGGCGGCGGUCCCAAGAGCGGAGAACCUCGCUCGUGGGGUCGUGGCGGACCGUGUGAUGGGCUUGUCUGCGGCUUCUGUCAGCCGUUGUGGAAACCGCAGAUAGGGAGCGCGGGCAGUCUGCGCAGCCGGUCCGAAACUGCUGCGGUCAGCGGCGCUGGGCUCGGAGCGCUCAAGCGAACAGAGAGUUUAGAGGGGCUCUCCCCACCCACCAAGAGUCUCUCGGCCCGACGCGGCUAAAAUUGCGCGCUGGAGCCUUCCCUCCGCCCGGGAUAGCGCGUCGGAAGAACCAGCGUCUUCCCCGAAAGGGCCAGACGGGUCCAGAGCCGCCUACCCAGUCGGGUGCGAACUCUCAGACGCUAAAGUAGGAACAAAGCUUCUAGAGAGGCAGCGCCUCCGGGCGCUCGCGCGCUGCCCAGCAGCGGUGGCCAUUGACAAAGUGAGGCCGAUUGCGCCUGGUGUGCGCAGCCAGGCCGAGCCUUCUGGAAACGCCCCUGAGAAAUGAGCUCAUGCUGGAUGCGCGCGCUCCUUGGGCGCGACUGCCCAGCGCAAAACGAGCCCCGAAAACAGUUAAAAGAAAACAUAAGGUCUCUGGAUGUCACAGAAAUGGAUAAAGAAUGUUGAAAGCAAACUCAGUGCAUGGCAACUUUGUCAGGUAAUGUCUCUCCAUGGCAUUAUGAAAGACCUUUGCCUCUAGCACCUAAAAUGUUGUGAAGCAAAGCUUUAAAUCCUGCCUUCCUCUUUACUCCAUACCCCUACUUCCAGUUAUACCAGCAGGAAAAGUGAAUAACAAAUGUUUAGGUUAUACAAAUUGGAAACAUGGCUGUUCUUCUAUAUACAAUAAAGUAGAAAAAUAGACUUAAGUUUGAUUAGUAGCCUUACUGUUACUGCCUUCAAAUAUUUUGAACUGAUGCUGUUAAAAAAAUCUGACUCAGGGAAAUUUUAAGGAAAAGAAGUAUUUCAGUCUAGAAGGGCUUAAGAAGUGAGAAGGUAAUGAGAAAAUACAGAACUGCUGAAAUUAACAUUCAGUGUAUCUCUGAACUUCCAAACUCUUGCUUUACCUUCCACCUGUUGUCAACCACUGAUCAGUUUAUAAUAAUUAUAAUAGUUGAUAUUUACUGAGUGUUUACAAUGUGCCAGGCACUGUUCUUAAGUGCUUCACACAUAUUACCUCAAAUUUAUAAUACUAUGAUGUAAGUACUGUUACCACCUCCACUUUUCAGAUGGGAAAAUGUAGGGCCAGAAAGGUUUACUAACUUACCUGAAGUCAAUUAGCUAAAGUAACAGAGCGAGGAAUCAGAUCUCCUGUUCCUAGCCUCUACUCCAUACUUGUCUCAAAUGCGGUCCUCACCUCUGCUGGUCUGUCUUGCUUUAUCUUGAAGUCUAAGCCUUACAUCUUGAACUGUGUGUGACUUGUUGUGAACCUAUCUCUAGUUUGGUUUCCUCCAGGGCUCAUCAAAUGCUCCCUUGCAGAGAUCAGUGAUUCUGAGCCACAGUAACAAUAAACCAAAGGAUUAGAAAAAGUUAAAUGUAGGAAAGCUGGGUGGUACAGAACAGGUAGUAUAGUAGGAAAAAAAGAGGUUGAUGAGUGUGUCCCCAAGAUAAUAAUUAUGAAUUAAAAUGCACAAUGAGCUAACUUCUGUAGUAAUAACAAAUUUGUAUAGCAGUUUGCAGUUAGGAAGUACUAUCAUGUUUAUAAAGUUUAGGAAGUACUAGUAUGAAACUGUUCUGUUUUUAUAAAUGAGGAAACUGUACACUACAGUAAGUGACUUGCUUAAAAUCACUUAGCUGCAUUUUUUUUUUUUUAAGAUUUAUUUAUUUAUUAGGGAGAGAGUGCCUGCAUGAGCAGGGGGAGGGGCAAAGGGAGAGCGAGAAAGAAUCUCAAGCAGGCUUCCUGCUGAGUGCAGAGCUCAACUUGGGGCUGGAUCUCAUGACCAUGAACCAAGCCAAAAUCAAGAAUUAAACGCUUAGGGGCACCGGGGUUGCUCAGUUGUUUAAUAGUCUGCCUUUGGCUAAGGUCAUGAUUCUGCAGUCCCAGGAUUGAGCCCCAUGUUGGACUCCCUGCUCAGUGGGGAGUCUCCUUCUCCCUCUUCCUCUGCCCCUCCCAUUGUGUUCUCUCUCUCUCUCUCAAAUAAAUAAAAUUUUUUAAAAUAAAAUUCUUUAAAAAAAAUAAUCAGACGCUUAACCAACUGAGCCACCCAGGCACCCCGAUGUAGCUGCAUUUUUAAUUGAAACUAGGAGAAAAUAUAGGCAAGCUUAAGAAUAAAGAUGGCAAAUAGGAUAUGAGAUGCAGUUUAAUUAAAUGAACCCAGAGUCACCCAUUCCAAAUAGAAGUCCACAGGGAAACUCUUCUUUGAGGACCUCAUUUAUUUAGCAAACAUAUAUUAAACCCCUAAACUUUGGGUGCUGGUCGUCAAAAUUUAGUAAGAUAUGGUCUCUUUGCUCCAGAUACUUGUAGUCAAAUACUAUGAGAUAAACAAGAGUUGUUUAGUAAUGAACUCUAGGAAAGCCCUCCAAUAUCAAGGUCAAAGAUUAAGAAAAAAGGGAAAAUAAACACAUUUAUUGAGUACUUACUUAAUUUCUCUCAAAACCCCAAGAGAUAGGUAUUAUUAGCCCUUCUUUUAAUACACAGAGGGAAAGAUAAGUACACGCUCGAGGUCUCAUGAUCAGUGAAGGCAGAGCGGGAGGGGCACCUGGGUGACUCAGUUGGUUGAGCAUACAACUCUCGGUUUCUGCUGAGGUCAUGAUCUCAUGGGUUGUGGGAUCAAGCCCCGCAUCAGUUUCCAUGGUCAGCAGGGAAUCUGCUUGAAGAUUCUCUCUCUCUGCCCCUCUCCCCACUUGCAUUUGUGCAUGUGCACGCGCUCUCUUUUUCUCUCUAAAAUAAAUAAAUUCUUAAAAAUAAAAGAGCUGGGAUGGGAUUUACACCUGAGUGUCUUUCUGCUAGAUUACUCUGCCUUCCAUCAAAAAUAACAUUGUUUAUCUCAUUUACAUAAAAUUAUCUGGCAAGCACACACAGAUGUCUGGAAAUACUCAUUUUGAUGGCAUUUUGGAUGAUCUUUAUUGUCUCCAUGCUUUCCAGUAACAUCUUCAUUUUCCACUUUUACAUAAGAAACAAAACACUUAAGAAGAAAACACAAAGGUAGGAUUGCAGAAGAACCAAAGAAAAAAGUGAAAUUGCUCAAUUUUAUUAGGAAUUAAUAAACUGACACAGAGGCACCCUUGGUCAAUAAUUUUGAUAAAUGUUCCACAGGAAAAUAAUCUAACAGGAAAUGUAAGUAAUUUUUUUUGGAUGUUGAGUUUUAUAAGUUCUUUACAGAUUUUGGAGGCUAACCCUUUAUCCAAUAUGUCAUUUGCAAAUAUCUUCUUCCAUUCUGUAGACUGCCUUUUAAUUUCACUGAUUGUUUCUUUUUUUGUGCAAAAACUUUUUAUUUUGAUGAAGUCCCAAUUGUUUUUGCUUUUGUUUCCCUUUCCUCAGGAGACAUGUCUAGAAAGGAGUUGCUGUAGCUGAUGUCAAAGAAGUUACUGCUUGUAUUCUCUUCUAGGAUUGUUAUGGUUUCAGGUCUCACAUUUAGGUCUUUAAUAUUUGAAUUUAUUUUUGUGUUUGGUGUAAGAAAGUCCAGUUUCAUUCUUCUACAUGUUGCUCUCCAGUUUUCCCAACACCAUUUGUUGAAGAGACUGUCUUUUUCCCAUUGGAUAUUCUUUCCUGCUUUGUCGAGGAUUAAUUGACCAUAUAGUUGAAGUUCAUUUCUGGGUUUUCUGUUCUGUUGAUCUGUAUGUCUAUUUUUGUGCCAGUACCAUACUGUUUUGAUCACUAUAGCUUUGAAGUAUAACUUAAAGUCUGGAAUUGUGAUGCCCCCAGCUUUGCUUUUCAAGUUUGCUUUGGCUAUUUGGGGUCUUUUGUGGUCCCUACAAAUUUUAGGAUUAUUUGUUCUGGCUCUGUGAAAAAUGUUGGUGGUAUUUUGAUAGGGAUUGCAUUAAAUGUGGAGAUCGCUUUGGGUAGUAUAGACAUUUCAGCAAUAUUCUUCUGAUCCAUGAGCAUGGGAUGUCUUCCUGUUCUUUGUGUCAUCUUCAGUUUUUUUCCUCAGGGUUUUAUAGUUUUCAGAGUACAGAGUACAGGUCUUUCUCUUUGGUUAGGUUUAAUCCUAGGUAUCUUAUUGUUUUUGGUGCAGUUGUAAAUGGGAUUGAUUUCUUAAUUCCUCUUGCUGCUGCUUCAUUAUUAGUGUAUAGGAAUGCAAUGCAAUUAUCGGUGUAUAGAAAUGCAACAGAUUCUGUAUAUUGAUUUUGUAUCCUGUGACUUUACUGAAUUUAUUUAUCAGUUCUAGCAGGUUUUUGUUAGUGGAAUCUUUUGGGUUUUCUAUAUGUUGGUAUCAUGUCAUCUGCAAAUAAUGAAAGUUUUAGUUCUUCCUUGCCAAUGUGGAUGCCUUUUAUUUCUUUUUGCUAUCUGAUUGCUGUGGCUAGGACUUCCAGCGCUGUGUUAAAUAACAGUGGUGAGAGUGGACAUCCCUGCUUAUUCCUGACCAUAGAGGAAAAGCUCUCACUUGUUCCCCAUUUAGUAUGAUAUUAGCUGUGGGUUUUUCACAUAUGGCCUUUAUUGGGUUGAGGUAUGUUCCCUCUAAACCUACUUUAUUGAGAGUUUUUAUCACAAAUGAAUGUUGUACUUUGCCAAAUGCUUUUCUGCAUCUGUUAAAAUGAUCAUAUUGUUCUCCUUUCCUUUAUUAAUGUGGUGUGUCAUAUUGAUUGAUUUGUGAAUAUUGAACCACACUUGCAACCCAGGAAUAAAUCCCACUUAAUCAUGGUGAGUGAUUUUUUUUAAUGUAAUGUUGGAUUUGGUUUGCUAGUAUUUUAUUGAGAAUUUUUGCAUCCAUGUUCAUCAGAAAUACUGGCUUGUAGUUCUCUGUUUUUUAGGGGAGUCUUUAUCUAGUUUUGGUAUCAGGGUAAUGCUGGCUUCAUAAAAUGAAUUCGGAACUUUUCCUUCCUUUUCUGUGUUUUUGAACAAUUUCAGAAGACUAGGUAUUAACUCUUUUUAAAUGUUUGAUAGAAUUCACCUGUGCCAUCUGGUCCUGGACUUUUGUUUGUUGGGAGUUUUUUUAUUACUGAUUCAAUUUCUUUGCUUGUUAUCAGGCUAUUGAAGUUUUCUGUUUCUUCCUAUUUCAGUUUUGGUAGUUUUUAUGUUUCUAGGAAUUUAUCCAUUUCUUCUACGUUGUCCAAUUUGUUGGCAUAUAGUUUUUCAUAAUAUUCUCUCAUAAUUGUUUGUAUUUCUGUGAUGUUGGUUGUGAUUUCUCCUUUCUCGUUUGUGAUUUUAUUUAUGUGGGUCUUUUUUCUUUUUUGACAAGUCUGGCUAGAGGUUUCUCAAUUUGAUUAUUUUUUUCAAAGAACCAGCUCCUGUCUUCAUUGAUCUGUUCUCUUGUUUUUUUAGUUUCUGUAUCAUUCAUUUCUGCCCUAAUCCUUAUUAUUUCCUUCCUUCUGCUGGUGUUAGGCUUCAUUUGUUGUUCUUUUCCUAGCUCUUGUAGGUGUAAGGUUGGGUUGUUUGAGAUUUUUCUUGCUUCUUGAGAUAGGCCUGUUUUGCUAUACACUUCCCUCUUAGGAUCGCUUUUGCUGUAUCCCAAAGGUCUCAGACUUUUGUGUUCUUAUUUUCAUUUGUUUCCACAUAUAUUUUUUUUUAAUUUCUUCUUUGAUCUCCUCGUUGACUCUUUCAUUGUUUAGUAGCAUGGUGUUUAACCUCCAUGUAUUUUUGGUCUUUCCAGAUUUUUUUCUUGUGGUUGACUUCUGGUUUUAUAGUGUUGUAGUCAGAAAAGGUGCAUGUUAUGACUUCAGUCUUUGUAUUUGUUGAGGCCUGUUUUCUGACGUGGUAUGUGAUCUAUUCUGGAGAAUGUUCCAUGUGCACUUGCAAAAAAUGUGUAUUCUGCUGUUUUAGGAAUGGAAUGUUCUGAAUAUAUCUGUUAGUCCAUCUGGUCCAGUGUAUCAUUCAAAGCCAUUGUUUCCUUGUGGAUUUUCUGCUUAGAUGAUCUGUCCAUUGCUGUAAGUGGGGUGUUAAAGUCCCCCAAUAUUAUAGUAUUAUUAUCAAUUAGUUCCUUUAUGUUUGUUAUUGAUUCUUUUAUAUAUUUGGGUGCUCCCAUGUUGGGUGCAUAAAUAUUUACAAUUGGAUUGUCCCCCUUAUGAUUAUAUAGUGCCCUUCUUUGUCUCUUGUUACAGUCUUUGUUUGUUUAUUUAUUGAGAGAGCAGGAGGGGAGGGGCAGAGGGAGAAGGAGAGAGAGAAUCUCAAGGAGGGUCCAUGCCCAGGGUGGAGCCGACACAGGGCUCGAUCUCACAACCCUGAGAUCAUGACCUGAGCCAAAAUCAAGAGUUGGAUGCUUAACUGACUGAGCUACCGAGCACCCCACAGUCUUUGUUUUAAAGCCUAGUUUGUCCAAUAUAAGUAUUGCUACUCCUCUCGGGGCGCCUGGGUGGCUCAGUUGGUUAAGCGACUGCCUUCGGCUCAGGUCAUGAUCCUGGAGUCCCAGGAUCAAGAGUCCCGCAUCAGGCUCCUUGCUCGGCAGGGAGUCUGCUUCUCCCUCUGCCCCUCCCCCCUCUCAUGUGCUUUCUCUCAUUCUCUCUCUCUGAAAUAAAUAAAUAAAAUCUUUAAAAAAAAAAAGUAUUGCUACUCCCGGUUUCUUUAGACAUCCAUUUGCAUAAUAAAUGUUUCUCCAUCUCCUCACUUUCAAUCUGCAGGUGUCCUUAGGUCUAAAAUGAGUCUCUUGUAGGCAGCAUAGAGAUGGGUCUUGUUUUUUAUCCAUUCUGACACCCUAUGUCUUUUUUUUUUUUUUUUUUUUUUUUCAAAGAUUUAUUUAUUUGUCAGAGAGAGAGAGCAAGCGUGUGCACAAGCAGGGGGCACAGCAGGCAGAGGGAGAAGCAGGCUCCCCGCUGAGCAGAGAGCUGGAUGUGGGGCUCAAUCCCAGGACCCUGGGAUCAUGACCUGAGCCGAAGGCAGACGCUUAAUGAACUGAGCCACCCAGGCAUCCCCACCCUAUGUCUUUUGAUUGGCAUGUUUAAUCCAUUUCAAAGUAAUUAUUAAUCGACACGUAUUUAUUGCCAUUUUAAUACUUGUUUUGUUGUUUCUGGAGAUUUUCUGAUCCUUUCUUGUCUUUGUCACUUUUGGUCUCUCCUUUCCACUCAAAGAGUCCCCUUUAAUGAAAAUUAUACUCUUUACCAACAAUAAAAGUUAACUCAUCUGAGGACCGUGGUAGGUGUUUGGGGCACUAAGCCCUUAUAUAGUAGAUGAAAUUUUUCUUUAUUUGACUGAUGAGAAAACUGAGGAACAAGAGAAGUAACUUGUUCAAGUUUACACAACUAGAAAGUAGUUUUCAAACCUAUAGCCUAAUUCUUGUGCCCUUGCCCUGGGAAUAUCUCCUUAGAGAAUCAUCCAAAAGAAACAAUCCAGAAGAAGCUCCACUCAAAUCUAUUUAGUGAUCAUUUAUUCAGCUCCUGAUCUCUCUGUAGGGCACUGUGCCAAGGGCUAAGAAUACAGAACUAUUAAGAUAAAGCCAUUCAGAGAGGACUACUGUCUUGUUCCAGUUUUAGAGGAGCUUUUGUGGAGUGGAGACAUGUAAACAGACAACAUCGUAGUCAUUUGGGCAUCUAUGGACUAGCAUGGGGGAGAGAUGUCCCAGAGAUCAUUUUCUAAGCUGUGUUUAAACUACUGGUCUCCAAAAUUGAGUGUAUGCACCCAGAGGGUGUACAGGAUAAACUUUUGUGGUGUUAGAACGAUUAAAACUUAUUUUUAUCUUUAAAAAGUAAGAAAUUACCUUUCUAAUGAUUAAUUAACUGGUAGAUACUGGCAUCCUUCUCAGACCGUGUGUCAGAGGAAGGGGUAUCACAUGGUUCACACUACAGCUAUCCUAAAAGAAGAGGAGGAAUCCACAGCCUUGAAGGAGUUGUGAAUACAAGGCACCCUCCUGCUUUUUUAGGUCUUCAGCAAUAUAUGGCACUUUAUUUGUGCUUAAUUAAGUGGAUUUUCAGUCAUAUUUGGCUUUUAACUAAAUCAGCCCUCACAGGUUGAAAUGAUUCCUACAAAUAUAGAUGACAUAGUUUACUAACAACACAAGAGUAAGUGAACAAACAAAAUAGCAAAGUUGAUGUUCUCCUACUCUUGGUAGGAACUCUUCAUCAUUCACAUCGUUAGGUAAAAACAGUAUGAGCUAAUCAAAUUUGACAAGAAAUGGGCCCGAACAUUUUGAAAUUCUUGGGAAGAAUUUUGGAAACAAGAAGUUAUCAUCUACUAUAGGUAAAGACAAAGCUUACCCUAAAUUUAAGUAUGAUUACAAUGUAACUAAUGGCAGUGUGAAGUCUUCACAGUUACCAAAAUGUUUAAAGACUUUGCAUCUGGGACAGUGUUACUGGUUUUGAGGGGGGUGAGGGGUGAGAACAAAAAUGUUUGAGGCCUUAAAUAAAAAUCAAUUUUUAAAUAUUGUUUAUUAUACCUUAUCCUUUUUUAUUCUUGUAUAUGUCUUAUAUGUGCAUAUCACAUUAGGUCAAGAGUAUAUGUUUUAUAAAUAUGCAGGUUGUAUUGGAGCUGAUAUUAAAACGUUCUUUACUAGUAGGGUAUAAGAUCAAAAACGUUUGUAGACAACUAUUUUAAACAAAGGUCAGUUUUCCAGAUGGGUAAAGGGAAGAACACACAGGCAAAGAGAAGAGGUGAUGUAAUGCCAGAAAUGUAUGUAGCAAAGUGUUCAGAGAACUGGAGGUAGUUUGAAAUUAUGCAUAUAAGAUUAGCUUAUAGGAUACAGACCUAGAGAAAAAUAAGAGAAAACAGUAUCAAAUAAUAGAGGUGUAGUUAGGUAAAUUAUAUUAAGUCCAUAUUAUGCAGCCAGUAACAGUGUAAAGACUAAUAGCAACUCAGAAACAAUACUAAUUGAAAAAUAUAGAACUGUAGAUUGUUACCAUAUUUCCAAUUCUGCUAAAUAUACGUACAUUUCAAUCAAGAUUGAAAAGGAAGACAAAAAUUGGAAUAAUUUUGUUAAUAUAGUAGCAUAUUGGGGCACCUGGGUGGCUCAGUCGUUAAGCGUCUGCCUUUGGCUCAGGUCAUGAUCCCAGGGUCCUGGGAUCGAGCCCCGCAUCAGGCUCUCUGCUCAGCAGGAAGCCUGCUUCUCCCCCUCCCACUCCCCCUGCCUGUGUUCCCUCUCUCACUGUCUCUCUCUCUCUGUCAAAUAAAUAAAUAAAAAAUCUUAAAAAAAAUAAUAUAGUAGCAUAUUUAAUUAUAGAUGAAAAUAUUAACUUUAAAUGUUUUCAUUUAAUAUUUUUACAAUAAAUUCGUUUGGUUUUAAAGGAAAUUCAUCCCCAAACUAAUUCAUUUCUUCACUGUGAUUCACAUAUUCCUCAGAAAGCCUCUGAUUGCAUGGGACUCUUAACAAAGACUCCAAAUUUCUCAGCAAAGCUAUCCAACAUUUUGGAUAACAUUUUUAUUGAUAAUCUUUUGUAAUGUGAGUUAAAUUAAUAAAACUAGCCAAUAUCUACUAAGUACAUACUGUAUGCAAGACAUCUGUUAGACACCUGAUAUAAAGAGGUUCAUGAGCCACAUGAAUGGUUCUGUGCCCUUGGGGAGCUUAUCUUCUAGGGAAACAAACACAUGGAAAGUUAAAUAAAUAAUUAUUUAAAAUCACAUUUUGAAUCCAUAAAAGAUGUAUGAGGCAGAACAUAAUUUGCUCAAACUAACUGUUCAUGCUGUCCUACUUAUAAUAGAUGAGUGGAAAACACUUCAAUCUAAAGUGGAUCUUAAAGGAUGAGUACUAGGAUUUGAAGAUGAAGAAAAGAGAGAGGAAGUAAAUUAUUUUCCACCACUUCAUUUCCAACCCACCAAACAAACCCCCUUCUUAGUAAACUCUGAGGUGGGUGGAGCUAUCAGAGCAACUAAGGGCAAUGUGAGUCUGUUCUUCUGACUUCAGAAAAACCAGUUCGGCUAGAACAGAAAGUUGAUAGAGAAGACUAAUGGAAGAUAAGGUUUAAAAGGUAGUUUGAGGCCAGAUUUGACAGAGCUUUGAAUGUUACACCAAGAAAUCUGGGCUCUGUCUUGUAGACAGUAGAGAAUUAUGGGAGAUAUUUUAGCAGAUAUAAGACAUUGUCACUGUAAGAAAGCCUCUGAGGGAACACACUUGUGUGGUUGCUGAAAUGUGCCCAGAGUCAAAAGACACAGCAUACUUGGACAUGCUUGUUCCAACCAAUGAGGUGUGCCCAAAUGGGAAAGUAAUGGGUGACUACCCAAAAAGAAAAAGGACUGUGUUUGAAAUAUUGCCACUGUGAAGUAGACUCUGGUUGUAUUAAAAGUUUCAUAUCAAGUCUUUGACAGGUCAUAUAUAAAUACUGUAAUCUUACUAUCCAAAGGAGUGUACAAUCUAAGAUAAAAGGAAAACGAACCCAUGAUGAAUCCUUUCGGUGUUUUAUGCUUGUAACAUAUGCCCUCCUAAGAGAGCAUAAUUGUGUUGUUAAUAUAUUACUGGGAUUAGAUUAUUUUGAAAUGUUUUGAAAAUAUUAUUUUAGCCCAUUUCUAUUCACAUUUUUUGAGAAGUGCUUUUUUAGACCAGUGUGAGUAUAUUCACAUGAAUUGAAUUAAAACAGUAUGUGUUGAUUGAAUACUUUGACUUAAGCAUACUUCUUUACAACAAAUUUUAGGUAAUUCAGCCUUGUUUUAUGUGCAUUAAAAUGUAAUAGACAUAUGCCUGAGACGUUCUCAGUCAGAAGAAAAGUUUGGGAACUCAUUGGCCGGAACCAAAUUAGAAAUGGUCAAAAUUUUCUUCACAUGGAAAUAGGACUCACAUUUCAGAAUAGAAUAAAAAUCUUUAGGUCUUUAUAUAAUGUUGAUGGUAAAUGUGAAAGCUACAGUGGUGAGCGCUGUGAAUUGUGUAAGGCUGAUAAAUCACAGACCUGUACCCCUGAAACAAAUAAUACAUUAUAUGUUAAUAAAAAAAAUUAAGAAAAAAAUGUGGAAGCUACAAGACAAAUGGCAUUCUGUUUCUUAGCUAUUGAAUAUCUUAACUCGGAAGGGGAAAAACUUGAAAAACAAAAUAUUAAAGUCCCAUGGAUUAUCCAAAAAGAAAUUCCAGAAUGCAGAGGGCCUGUCUCCCUCAUUUGGUUGUGGCCAUCAGGAUGGCCAUCAUUGCUCUGACUUCACUGCUGUACCUGUAAGAUCGAAUUCUGAAAGGGAAUGGGAGAGAAAGCACAAGGCCCCAUGGAAUGUGUGUUCCUGUAUAACAUCCCAACCAGACGGUAGUAGAAAGUACCAGAUAUCAGACCAGGAAGGAUUUUUAUGGGAGAGGAUUUAUAGCUCAGUUUUGUAAAUCCAUUAAUAUCUCACCAUGUCUGUUGUCAUUAUUUUUAUAAUUUAUAUGGUGUAUUCAUUAGUAGUGUCUAGUACUUGAAGAUAAAAGUAAUAAUUUAGGAAAAAUAACCACUAUUUCCCUAAAUAACUCUCACUACUCUUUUAGGAGCAUUUGGGAGUCUGAGGAAAGUACUAACUCAGACAAUUUGUAGACAACUAUUUUAAACAAAGGUCAGUUUUCCAGAUGGGUAAAGGGAAGAACAUACAGGCAAAGAGAAGAGGUUAUGCAAUGCCAGAAAUGUAUGUAGCAAAGUGUUUAGAGAACUGGAGGUAGUUUAAAUUAUGCAUAUAAGAUUAGCGUAUAAUGGGGCUCAGUCGGUUAAGCAUCUGCCUUCAGCUCAGGCAUGAUCCUGGACUCCCAGGAUCAAGCCCUGCAUCUGGCUUCCUGCUCAGCAGGGAGUCUGCUUCUCCCUCUGUCCCUCACCCCGUGUUCUCUCUCUCUCUCUCUGUCUCUUUCUUAAAUAAAUAAAUAAAAUCUUAUAAAAAAAAAAAGAUUAGCAUGUAAGAUACAGACCUAGAGAAAAUAAGGGAAAACAGUAUCAGAUAAUAGAGGUGUAGUUAGGUAAAUUAUAUUAAGUCCAUAUUAUGGAGCCAGUAAAAACUCGGGUUUGUUUUUUUUUUUUUUUCCUUUUUGAGGAAUUAACAAGUCUGAGACAGUUGAGCACAUCCUCCCAUCAGUAUUCUACUUUCUCUAGCCAUUUUCUGGGAAUUUGAAUACAGUUUUCCGAUUUAAUCUUUUUAUCAAAAGUAAUCUAAUUAUCCUAAUUUUUAUCAUUAAACUCUUUGGCUGUGAUUCUAUAAAUUUAAUAAAUGUUGCUGGUGUGUGUUGGAAAACACACGAAAAGACCCAAUAUUGAAUAUCCUCAUUCCACUAGGAAGUGCUUAUUGUGUGUCUGCUGUGUGCCCAGAACUAUGCCAGAUACGGUGGGAAACACAUUUGCUUGCAGCAGAUUGAGAAAACUGCUGUAUAUGUUUUAAAACCUAACUAUGGUCUGUUUAU